UAUAGAUUUUUGCCGGUCUCAGGGAGAACGCGGGCGGCGUGUAUAACACACGCAUCUCGAGCGCACAGAAGGGACCUUGUUCCCGGAUGUUAGCGGCGGACGGGUGAGUAACACGUGGGCAACCUGCCUGUAAGUCUGGGAUAACUCCGGGAAACCGGAGCUAAUACCGGAUAGUUCCUUGCACCUCAUGGUUCAAGGAUGAAAGACGGUUUCGGCUGUCACUAUCAGAUGGACCCGCGGCGCAUUAGCUAGUUGGUGAGGUAAUGGCUCACCAAGGCGACGAUGCGUAGCCGACCUGAGAGGGUGAUCGGCCACACUGGGACUGAGACACGGCCCAGACUCCUACGGGAGGCAGCAGUAGGGAAUCUUCCGCAAUGGACGAAAGUCUGACGGAGCAACGCCGCGUGAGUGAAGAAGGUUUUCGGAUCGUAAAGCUCUGUUGUUAGGGAAGAACAAGUGCGAGAGUAACUGCUCGCACCUUGACGGUACCUAACCAGAAAGCCACGGCUAACUACGUGCCAGCAGCCGCGGUAAUACGUAGGUGGCAAGCGUUGUCCGGAAUUAUUGGGCGUAAAGGGCUCGCAGGCGGUUUCUUAAGUCUGAUGUGAAAGCCCCCGGCUCAACCGGGGAGGGUCAUUGGAAACUGGGAAACUUGAGUGCAGAAGAGGAGAGUGGAAUUCCAAGUGUAGCGGUGAAAUGCGUAGAGAUGUGGAGGAACACCAGUGGCGAAGGCGACUAUCUGGUCUGUAACUGACGCUGAGGAGCGAAAGCGUGGGGAGCGAACAGGAUUAGAUACCCUGGUAGUCCACGCCGUAAACGAUGAGUGCUAAGUGUUAGGGGGUUUCCGCCCCUUAGUGCUGCAGCUAACGCAUUAAGCACUCCGCCUGGGAGU
rnacentral:rRNA from 1 species